CUGAAGUCCUGCCACCAGAACUGUAGCGUGGAGACACUUUCAGCUGUAGCAAGAAACCUGCUGCCGUCCCCUAAGUACAGGGAAGACAGAGGCUCCCGGCUCUGUGCCCACCCACAUUUUUAUACGGGGCUGAAGGUGCAUGGAGACCCUGGGAGUCAUGCACUAAGGGUGUCUCGUAGGUUUCUCAAACUUGAGAGAACCUGAUGGUCACACAGGCGAUAAAUACAUAAAUAAACAAGAAAAUAGCAUAUGGUAUGAUAAAAGCUUUGGAAAACAAUAACCAGUAUGCUGUGAUAGAGAAUUACUUAGAAAAUUCCUUUAUUCAGGAGUGUUGGGGGCAUACUCUAUGAAGGAAGGGCAGUUCAAACUGAAAUCUCAGUGCCCAAAGGAGUUUGCCUUAUAAUGACCUGAGGAGAGAGAAUUCCAUAUGGAUGGAACAGCAACUGCAAAAGCUCUAAGGAGAGAACAAGCUUGGUGUGUUGAAGGACUAGCAAGAAGAAACUGUGACCAGAAUGGAGGGAGGGAGGAAGGGAAGGCCAGACCAACUGAGCCCUUGUAGAUGAUGAUGAGGUGUGUGCAUUUUGUGAUGAGUACACAGGAAAGCCGUUAAAGGACUGUGAGCAAAGGUUUGACAUGAUUUGUCUUUUAAAAGAUGAAUAUGGUGGAAAAGGAGACUGGUUGGGGUAGGGAGAUGCAAGAGUGUAAACAGAGCUGGCUGGUAGGGGUUCUUUUAGUAGUUCAUGUAAGAGAGAAUGGGGACUCAUACCUGAGAGUUGGAGAUGAAGAGAAAUAGGUGGAUUCGAGGUAUCAUUGGAAGUAGAAUUAGCAGAAGUUGUUGAUACGGAUGUUGAGGGAAAGAGAAAUCAAAGAGUACUCAUAGAUGUGGAGUUGAAGCAAAUUGUAGUGCCCUUUACUAGAGGGAGGAGCAGAUUUAGGAAGGACUCAAGAGUUUUGUUUUGGGCAAAUUAUAUUUGACAUCCACAUAGAGCUGUUAGUCACAAGGAAUUUUUAAAUGUAAUUCAGUAACUCAUUAAGUAGAAUUCAUACAUACAUACUCUAUGGUGUAUAAUUACAAAGAGGUAUCCAUGAGAAAAGUCGGAUCUCUCCACAAAAAGGUAUAACCUCAUUGGGAGUUUGUAUAGAAAAGUAAAGAUAACCUACUUUGCAGUGAUUUAUCACCAAGCAGAAACUGGCUGAAGGGGUGUCUGUGUUAUCCUUAAAAUGUGUUUUCAUAAUUGCUGCAUCACACAUCACAUUGGUUAGAUUGGUGUGGAAUAUGUGGAACCUAGUCCUGCUUGCACAAUGAACAUUUUGCAAAAGGAGGAAGACACUUAGGGCUUUAGAUAAUUCUCCUUUGUUUUAGCUGAAAACGUUUGGAGAAUGUCGAAUGGUGUAUCCUUUUUGGCUGUUGCGAAUUAUUUUCUCUAAAUAUAUAGAGAAAAAAAUGAACAAUCAAAAAUUGGCAUGUGAUACUAUACAUCAUUGUUUUAUAUUGAGUGGAAAAAUAAGAACUGUGCCACAUUCAUAAGAUGGAUAAAUCAAGGAAGGUUUUGUGGAGGAACUAGGAAUUGAGUCCAACUUUGAGAAAUUUGUUGAUUGGCUCAACAGAAGGGAAGGAGAGUUUAAGAGCAGCCUUGGAUAGAAAAGAGAGGACAGACAGAGAGGUACAGAUAGGAAGAUAUUAAGGAGGCGGAGUCAGUGGGCUUCAGUGGCUGAUUGACUUUAGGGGAUGAAGAAAGGGAAGACUUCCAGAUUUGGGGAGGAUGAUUAUCAAGAUGAAUGCUGGAGAGGAGAUGGUCAGGAUAGAUUUUGGGAAGAUGAUGAUCAGGAUAUGUUGUGGUGUCAUUUAUUAGAAUGUGAAAUACAAGGAGAGCAGCUUUGUGGGAGGUUGCAUGAGGUAGAUACUCGAUUUGUUUGGUUAUAUUUAAGGUAUCUAUGGAGAAUAAAGGGGAGGAUGAGGGUUACAGGUCUGGAACUCAGGGAGAGAUCUGAGCUUGAGAUAAGGAUUUAUGAGUCACCCUCCGAGGGAGAUUGUGGUGUCUAAUGACUUUUGAGUAAUGAUGUGAGGAGUAUGACCUUUUUUAGGAAGAUUAAUGUGACAGUAAUAUGCAUAAUGGAGGAAAAAAGUGACUGGCAGUGUUAACACACCAAGAGUGAGAUAAAAGGACCCCGUGCAGUGAAGCAGGUGCAGGAAGUGACUCCUCUGAGGACUGCUACUGUUAGCCAAGUGAAAGUCUAAAACACAAUUGCCAGCGCCCAUGAUAUUCAGAUGUAUAAAAUGGAAUAUGUUAUUUUAAUUAAUUGUUCAUUGAUUGGUUGACUAAUUUGUACUCCCUUGUUCAAAAAAGCCUUUAAAAGUAUUUGACUGUAGUAGAGCUUGUGAGAUCCACACCUGGGAUUAGAGCUAGUUCAGAGUAGAAGCACUGAAAUGAUUAAGUAAUUGGAUAGAGAGGUCAAGAAACAGGAUUAUAGUCAUAGACUCUUUCAGUCCAGAAGGUACUCAGCGUUCUCUACAAGUACCUUCUGAGGCUACCGCUUUCGUUUUAGAGCUGCUUUAACUGUUGAUUCAUUCAUGCAUUUAUUCAUGUAUUCAUUCAAAAAGAAUGUAUUGAGCACAUGCCAUGUGCCACUACUCUUCAGAUUCACCAGUGCAAAUUGACUUUGCUUUUACCUGAGGACUGUUUUCUAAGGACCUAAAUUACAAUGCAUUUUCGAUACACUAUGGGAGCUUGCUUUGUUUUUUUGUUUUUGUAUUUUGAUUUUAUAUAGUAUGGCUAUGUUCUCUGAAAUGAAACUAAUUUUUACACAAAGACUUCUGUUUUAUAGUCUUUUUUCUUUUCGUUUUUCAAAGCCGAGAUAACAGUUGCCUCAGAUCAUUAACUUAAUUAUCCUGUACUCUAAAUUUACUAUUUCAGUGCUACCUAAGGAAAUGGUAAUAUCAUGAGUUCCUUAUUCCAUUUUUAGUUUUUUACAUUUCACUUAUUUCACAUUUUUUUUUCUUUACACAAGUAAAGUGUACGUGCUAAAUUUUUUUCUCGAUUGUUACCUUGUCCUUGGUCUAGAGGCUAUAGUACAACCCUGUGCUGUGUGUGGCCUAAUAAAAUGUUGUAAAUCUUAUGUCAUUUGUAAUGUUUGUCAGUAAACAAAUCUUUAGUAUUUAGAAAGAAAUACUAUACCGUAUUUUUAUUUAUGUAACUUUUUUUCUCAAAAGCAUUUUGGUUUUUUUUUAAUGUGCGUGGGGUAAAAUGCUCACACAAAACACACAAGUGAAUGUGACCUGGUGGAGCUGGGAGUAUUAGCAUUCAUGCUGCCUUUGAGAUAGUGCACCAGAAUUUCCUCUUAACGUUCCGAACUGCCACUAGAACCACUUCAUGGAGACACUUUUCAGCUGUAGCAAGAAACCUGCUGCCAUUGCAUAAGUACAGGGAAGAUAGAGGCUCCCAGCUCUGCCCCUACCCACAUUCCCAUACGCAGCUGAAGGUCCAUGGGAAGCCUGGGCAUCAUGCACUGGGGGUGUCUCCUACGUUUCUCAAACUUGUGAGAGCUUGAUGGUCACACAGAGAGCUUGCUUAACUAGGACUUGACUAGGGCUAGGGAAAUCUGCAUUUCCAGCAAGCCCCAGGAGAAGCUGUUACUGCCCAUUUUCACCACAGUUUGAGUAGAAAAGUUACAGAAUGUUUAUGUGAAUCGACUUCGCUGCACAGAGAAAUGGAUUUGUUGUACUGGUUUCAGAGAACAUCCUAUCUUCAAGUAGUCACUGGACCUAAUUUUGAUUUCCAUUACUUCUUUCAUUGUUUUUUAGAAAAGCAUAUCUUAUACAUUGCUUUGCUUCAAAUAGUAAUGGUAAUGGUAAUGGUUUCAUUAUGCAGUUAAAUUUUUUUUCUCAAGUAAAUGUUAAAAAUGAAAUAUUUCAUAUUAUACAGGACCACAUGAUAAGAGACAAAACAAAUCCUGGGACUCAGAUGCCGGAAAAAUCAUUUGCUUUUAAUAGAGUUGAUCCUUUACAUAGGUUUACCCAUUUGGUCUUUGCUAAACUUUACAAAUAUAUCUAAAACUUUAUGUCUAUGGAUUUUUUUUGGCAAUUACAUUGAUCUCCUAUGUGGCAUUAAAUGCCAUUAUUUCAAAAUAUUUCCUAAUAUGUUAUUGACUGUAGUAGAAAUAAUCAUUAAUUCACAGAAUCAGAUACACUAAAAAUUAAAUUAUAUGUUCUCCAAAAAUAUAAUUGCUGUUUACUAUGAGACUGUUAUAUAGCAGAGUUAAACUAAUAAGACAGUUGUUACAAAUGAUCACCACUGUAACUGUUCCAUUGGAGGGAGGAUGGAAAUGGGUGGGUUGUGUACAUUUUAUAAGGUUUAUGAAGUUUAAGGGAAAGGAUUUUGGGGUAAGCUGUUGGCCUUUCCAAACUGAUGUUAAUAUACUCAUUGAUAGUAGAAUAUGUGACCUUAGAUGGCACUUGGGAAGCUAAAGGAAAAAUCACCUGGGACCUUGAUGAUAAUGAGGUCCCUGACCCACCCGGAAGGUGAGGUUAAAUGUGUUUUCCUUUGGUCAAGGGAAGGGAAUUCCAAAUCCUUUGCUCAUGUCAGGAAGAGCCUUUGUGGGGGCCAGGACUUAGUGUUUUAAACUUGAUAAGUCUUCUUAGUAUAACUGUGCUAAUAUUUGACCCCCCCAAAAAAACAAAGGAAACCUCUCAAACUCUGAUUCUUAUUUAUCCUGAAACCAAGCAUUCUGUAUUGCAAGGACCAUGCCUUCUUUGCGUCAGGAUGUUCAUGUGUACAAAUUCCUAAAUUUUAAGUUACUCAGCUGCUUCAUUAAACUUACUUGUGAUAGAUUCUAGUUUUCUUAGGCUAGUUACAUCUGAAAGUGAUACUAUGCUUGUAAAUGUGUUGCUUUAGCUCAUAUAAAUUGUGUAAAAAGUUUAUUUUAGGGGAAUCCAGUUAACACUGCUUAUCAAGUGUAGAAAAACUAAGUCCUGGCCCCCACAAAGAUUUUUCCUGACAUGAGCACAGGAUCUGGAAUUCCCUUCCCCUGACCAAAGGAAAACACAUUUAACCUCACCUUCCGGGUGGGUCAGGGAUCUCAUUAUCAUCAAGGUCCCAGCUGAUUUUUCCUUUAGCUUCCCAAGUGCCAUCAAAGGUACUUGUUUAUAAGGCAGUAAGACCAUUAUGCAACUUUAAAUCUUAUCCCAGUCUCUUUGUAAAGACACAAAUUGACAAUAUUCUUUGUCUUUUCUUUUUUGGAGCAUAUAUAUAUAAGCGCACGCACAUACCCAUAUUCGUGUGUAUAUAUAUCUGUAAACAUAGAUAUAUAAAGUGACUUUAAAAUGUAAGUACGUGUGUUUCAUUUUAAAUUCUAGCAAUGUUAUUGGGAAAGAAAGUGUAGACAAAGUUACAUAUUUUUGUAAGUAGUAUACUUUUACUUACAUUGACAGUUAAAUCAAUAUUUAAAACUUUUUUGUUAUAGAUACAAAUUUUGGGAAGAAUUGUCCUUAGAAACAUGUUUUAAAUCAUUGUUUUGAUGUCUUGAUAACUGGUACCAGGAAAAUAAAAAGGGUUACCAAAAGGCAGAAACCAGUUUCAAAUUAUCUGGGAAAUAAAAACAGGAAACUCAGGGAACUUGGCUUGAGACCAGUUGGAGAGGAGCAGUUGUUGAUUGAAUAAUUAUACCUGCAUUUUAACUGUUGGAAGUCAUACAGUGACCUUCUGGUUGUUGUGAUUUCUUUGCCCAUCAAAAAAAAAAAAAAAAGUCAUGAUUAAAUAUUUUACAUCUAGUUACCAACAGGAGUGUGAGUGUAAAGGAGCCUUUUUAUUCCUACACAUUAGGUUACAAAAAGGAUUGGUACAAAAAACAAAUUUUCCAGUUGACAUUUAGAGUGAUACUUUGUAUACAGUCAUCUGUAAACAGCGUAAUAAUUUCUAUACCUCUCAUUCAUGGAUUUUUUUUUCGCCUUUUUCUUUGCUUUAACUCUUAACUCUGAGCUUUGAAGCCAUCUCUUCUGUCCAAAGAUGUGCCUAGUUCAAGCACUUUUCUGUCCUCUUCCCAUACCUAAUCCCAGGUUGGUUAAAGGCGCACCAAAAGUUGUAGGUGAGCAGGUGUUGCUACAUCUGGGCUUUAUUUCAGGAUUAACUAGAAUGUACUUACUCUAUGUUUUUAAAAGAGACUAUUGUUAAUAUUACAAGGACGAAAACAACUUGCCACUUUGAGCCAGAUAAACGGUGUUCUCGAGGGCCACGCCUAAAACUCCACCUACCCGGGAUGCUUAAAAAAUGUUGGUCUGAUGACUGACCUUAGCAGGGUGACAUGUUCACUGCUGGGGAGCCCCGAGCACUCCCGCGCGUGUCUGUGGUUUCUGACUUGGCUGUAGGUGACCUCUCUGUUUUUCCCAGGGCUCGGCAUGUGCUCUGUAACACAGAGCUGCUGAGUUGCUGCUUUGCGCAGCUGUGUCCGGCUAAGCCCUGGCCCCCACAAAGGUUUUUCCUGACAUGAGAAAGGAUCUGGAAUCCCAGCCCAGGAGGCCUUCUGAGCUGCUGGCAAAGGCUGCUGUGCAUGGAGACCACUCCCCAUGGCAGGGCUCCCUUCCCUCUAAGGGGAGCUGGAGCUGUCCCUUCUGUGUCCACAGGGGUUUUCCGCCUCCUGCAGAGCAGAGCUGCAGCCCCAAGCUUGUCUCCAUCAACCGGAGGGUUUGCAUAAGCAGGAGCUGUCGGGCAAUUAAAACCUCGUUCGUUAGUGUAAUUAGCAUUCCAAGACCACGAUCUGGGAUUGUGGACAACUCAACCAAGCUGCACAGUUUAUGUCCUGCUUAUGAAAAAAAAAAAAAAAAGAAAGUCUGUGCAAUCUGUGCAAGGGAAGUUCAAGAAAGAAUUUAGGGGCAUAACCACUUUAGCAUAAACUCACAGGCAGUGAAAAAGUGAUCAUUUCAAAUGUUCUUAUAAUUUUAUCACUAUAGGUAAGGAACCUCUAUUAGACACUGUGUUUUUUUGUACUCACCUGUCUUGCCAGUAUUAUAUAUUUACUAGUAUCUUGAUUAAGAGAUACUCAGAGAAAAAAAAAGCUCCUUUAAAUAAAGAGGGUUUUAAUUAAAAAAGAAAAAGAAAAGAAAAUCUUUGCUAAUGGGAGGAAGCAGGGCUGAAUGCAUACCACAUACAUAAAAAUAUACCUCAAAGCAAAGCUCUACUUUCCUCCAGUUCUUGUUGAAGGUUACUAAAGCUAACCUGACAUGAAAAUUGUAAAGGUUGCCAAAUUUGUCUUUUUCUGUCUAUGCCCUUCCUAUUCUAUUCUUUUAGUUUUUUUCCACCUCAGAAGCCCAGCAUCAUUUUUCUCUCGUUUCUAUCAGUAACUAUAAUCUAGGAAAAAAUUUAAAUUGUUUACCCUUUUUGAUUGGUUGUACCCCAGAGUGUUACUUCUACCUGCAUCCCCACAUUUUAAUCCUAAUUGUGAAAUUCCUAUUGAAUUCAAUCCAGAAGGAAGGAGCAAGGAUUUCUACUGUCAAUGAUGCACCUUCCUGACUGAGCCCUGCUCACUUGGGAAGGAUAGUCCUGGGGCUGGUCCACUGCAUGGGGUCAUUUGAGAUGAAUAUGGAAAGGACCUCGCCCUAAGAAGUCUAGUAGGAGAGAUCAGAUACACAAGGAGUUAUAAUGAGGGUAGAGCAGCCAUACCCAGUCUGAAUAGUGUUAUGCCCGGUAGACAUUCUGGAAGACAUUGCUAAAUAAGAAUCAGAGCUAACUUUAAUCAGUUUAAAAGCUACUUUGUGAUUUAUAGACACGUUUACUUCUAGAAUCGGCACUUCUUCGUUCUUUGUGAAAUCUAUAACUUUCUCAAGAAAGGUAUUUAAGAGCACUAAAAUUAAAUAUUUAAGUUUUUUUAAAGAAACGUUCUAAUAAUAUAAUUUGACUUAUUCCCUAGUUCAUAUUGACCUUCACUAAGCAUACUGUUCUGGGGCAUUUGAAUAAUUUGUUUCAAAACCUAUAAGACCAUUCUUUUAAUGGUGCGUAUGCUCUAAGAUAAGAAUAAUGGAUUCCUAUUGGUUGAUGAUACGUGCAAAGGUAGGGAUAUAUUCUUAUAGUGUGCCUUCCUGCUUUUGAUUCGUGGUUUCUCUUGCUAAGUGUUUUCUGCAUCAGGAGGAGGUGACAGCAGUAAGUGGUGCCUGUAAAGUUGGAAGAGGGAAGGAAUUGACAUGAAUUAAUGUCUGUGUGAGUUUUUAAGGAGCUGGAAUGUCCCUCUAAAUCGAGGAUGUGUUUUUUUUUGUUUGUUUCUGGUUGACAACUUCCUAGUUUUCCUACACUUCAUUAUUCUUUUCUCUGUCACUGGGAUUUUUUUUUUUCAGUUUCCCGAAAAGCAAAUGAAGUGCUUUUUCCUUAUCAGUGGCCUUUCUUUUCCUGUUCCAAUAACAAAAGAACAAUACAGGAAUUUAAUAAUGUUAAAAAAUUGCUGUGUCUUUUUCUUAAUAUAUCCAUUUAUUUGUCUGCAGAUAAAAUCCAAGUUUUACAGACAUAGAGGAAAACUGUUUAUAAGUAAAAUGAGCCACUAUUGUAUCUUGUCCUUGUCAGGGUUUUCAUUUUUGUCCUUUCACCCAGUUUAGAAAGUAAAUUUUUUUUUCUCUUUAAAAUGUGUUCCCAUGUUCUGUUAUUAAGAGGAAAAGUUCUGAAAAUAGAAAGAUAGGUGAAAACACUGGUUAUCCUCUAAUAGAAGGGCACUUUAAAGAUUCCUAGAACACAUUCUGAUCUUGUUUACGUAUCUAUAUUCUAUUAAAGACUGUUGUUUACUGUUCCUGCUGCUUUGGCCAGAAAAAAAAAGUCCAGUCUGCCUCACAGACUUUUUAUAAAUAUCAGAGGUGUGUUUUUGCAACAGUGUACAUGAAAAGACAUUUGUUUCAGUGUUUUGAUGCAGUUUGAGUUCAUGGGAGGGUGCAUUAAAGUGGCUUCUGCAAGUAUCCUUGAAGCCACAGUGAGGAGGGAACUUGGGACUUGUUCCAUGGUGGUCCUGCUGUGACCUCAGAGGACCUUGCUUGCUGACUUUUUUUAAGGCAUGAGACAAAUUCUCACAUUCUCAGUUGUGUCUGACGCAGAUCUGGGUACUAGUCAGGGUUUUAAACUGCCUAAAUAAUAUCUUGCAUGUAACAUCUAAAGUGACAUUUAUCUCUGUUACUAAAAAGAAAAUACUAUUCUAUUUACAUGUUCUUGGUGCCCUUUGGCAUUUUGAUUGCUGAUUACAGUAGGACCUUCAGAAUGCUUUCUGAUUGAGACCUGAUUUCUGUUUCAUCUGGAAUUUUUCAAAUACAAUUAUUGUGUGGUGUUAACACUUCAUUGCAACAUGGAACUCCCAAAAAUGUUGUAUAUGUAUUCUUUCAUGCCUCUCAGCCUGGCUUCAUGUAUGUCUAAGUACAGGUCUUAUUAUAAUGUUGCCCUUGGGGGUCCUUUUGAUAUAUCAAGAAUUAAACCUCUUUAGUCAGGAGAGUGCAUUUUAUAUGGAUUUAUAAUAAAUAGUCUGUGUUCAUAUGCAUAGGAAAUAAUGCAUUUUCUGAAAAAAAUUGUGCAUGUCACUUGUAUUUUUCUGCUUUGUAUGCCAGAAGAACAUUGUAUACAAAUAUGUCCCAUACGCAUGUGUGAAUUUAUAUAGCUGUAUGUAUAUAAGCACAUAUACAUCCAUGAUGAUAUAGGUAAUAUGUGGAAAUAAGUGCAGCCAUGUGAUUAUUUUUAUCUUAUUCUUUGUGUGUGUGUGUGUUUGUGUGUGUGUGUGUGUGUGUGUGUGUGUAGAGUUACCUGUGUGCUAGUAAAUAUGACAGUGCUGAUAAUAGUGUUACAUUCUCUGGUUAAGAGUUUCCUGAGAAUUUUGGUCUUCCUUAAUGGUGCAAAUUAGUUAUAGACUCUUAACUCGUGAGAUAUAUUCCAGUGGUUCGUUUCUAAGAAUUGAUGUAAUAUUAUGCACUUUGUAAAUAGCUUAUAGAGGAUAAGCUAUGACUCUUCAAAUAAAUAUUAUUCAAACUCCUUCCACUUUGAUUUCCCUUAUCACUAUAACAACCGCACCCAACUUUGCAAUUAAAUUGUGUUGUCUAUCUGCUUCCCGCACACUAGUGAAGCUGACCCUAUCGAGUUCAAAGGAAAUAUGAGAGAUAAAGUUGAAAACUGCGUUCCUUUUGUUGACAUUUCUAGAGCAACAAGUCAGAAAGCUUGUCUCCCUUUAGGUAGAUCGGAGCUGCUACGGGUCAUGAUUAGAUGGUAUGUCCACUAGUAACUGUGAUGACGCCCAACAGAAUUAUUUGAAACAUUCUCAGUAAAUAACCAGGAACUCCGGGAUCUGUUAUCUGAGCGUUUGGAGUUUGGGAUCCUUGUAGGGUCUCCAAAGCUUAAGACCUAUCUCCACUGCAUCUCUGAGAUCUUAAAAACAAUAAUACGAAGAUCCAGAAUAAAUUGGUGCCAGUUAAACUCGAACCAAAGAAGGUUUAAAUGCAGUGAGCGUUUGAGUGAUAAAUAAGGUAUGGCCCUAACUCAAGAGGCUUCCAGUUUUCUUGGGGAGACAGGCAUGAACACCACUCACUAGAAUAGAAAGUAGAGUGAAAUGAGUACUUUCACAAUUUACAGGUACAAGGAAAAUACACAGGAUUACUGAGAAAGGAGUUAUAUUCUGACUA